CUCCUCUCCAGUCUCCACUCGACCCACUCCUCUCCGCCGCUGGCUCCUUCCUCUCCCACCGUCGCCGACUCCUUCCUCUCUCUCCGUCGCCAACUCAUUCCUCUCUCCUGAGAGAAGUGAGAUGGCUGGCUUGGAAGGUUUCGAGUUCUUCGAGAUCUUAAUUGAGAAAUCUUGCAGUAGGCAGAGGCUGCCUGACAAGUUUAUGAAGAUACUCGCCGGCCAUGAGCCCCACAAAGUGAAGCCGCGGGAGGCUGGCAGCGGGUGUCGCAGGCGGUGGGACGUGUUGGUGGUGUUUGACGGCGAAGGCCACAUGUACCUAGGGCCUAGCUAGGAGCAUUUCGCCCGCGCCCAUGACCUGCAGCUCGGGCACUUCCUUAUCUUCCGCUACGACAGCGACGCCAUGUUCACCGUGAAGAUGUUCGACAACACCAUGUGCCACAUGUACUACCAACACGACGACGA